AAACCUAACCACUACGCCACCAGGCCGGCCACUAGGCUCUCUAAUUGUUAAUUCUUUGUUUAUUCAAGGCCAAGAGCUGUUUCCUAAGAAGAGCUGCUUCCUAAAAAGCUAAGUGGCUACGAUUCUCCAACUUGGCCGAGCCAGGGGUCUGGGCACUGAGCUCACGGGCAGCCAGCCUACCUGGAGAUCGGGGCCAGCCUCCUGGGAAGACGCAACAGUGAUAUUGUGAUUUUUACAAGACCCUCCACCCGCGAAAAGAUUGUGACUGGCUGAAGGCUCAGAUAAGGUGGUCUGGAACCGAACCCACAGAGCUCCAAG